rnacentral:lncRNA from 1 species
CUCAGCAGUACCCAUUCCCUAGCUCCCUGCCCACCAAAUUGUCCAUUAAAAACCCUAAUCUCUGAGCCUUCAAGGAAACUGACUUGAGGAGUAACACCAUCUUCUGUGUGCCUGGCCUUGUGUCAAAUUUUUCUCUACUGCAAUGCUGAGGUCUCAGUAAAUCGAUUUUUGUCUGUGCAGUGGGCUGGAAGGAGUCAACAGGGACAAGGUGUCACCAUGUUGCCCAGGCUGGUCUUGAACUCCUGGGAUCAAGGAAUCCUCCUGCCUCAGCCUCCCAAAGUGCUAGAAUUAGAGACGUGAGGCACCACACCACCUACCUUUAUAUUUAAGCAACAGUUUGACUGCAUACAAAAUUCCUGGGUCACAUCUCUUUGCUGGAGGAUUUUAUUGUGAUUGCCUUCUUGUGUGUUUGGUAAUCCAGUUUGUGAGUUGAUGGCUUCAUCAUAAUCUGUGGGAGUCCUCUGUACCAAACUUGGAAAGUUCUCCUCCAGACAAGACUUUGCCUUCAGGUGAAUCAACUGACACCAGCUUGAACAGUGACCGUGACUGCAACAAAGGAACUGACUCAACCGGUCCUCUGACCACUCCCCUGCAGGAAAUGACUCAGCACAUGAAGACAGUUUCAACACUCCUAUGAUUUCAUCCCCCAACCAAUCCACAACAUCUGUUUCCUAAUGCCCUACCUGCCAAAUCAUCCUUAAAAACCUUAGCCUCUGAAUUCUUGGUGAGGUGGAUCUGGGAAAUGUAUCCCGUCCUCCUCACUCUAUUGCCUUGCAAUAAUCAAACUCUUUCUCUGCUGCAACUCCUGCUGGCUCAGUGUUUUGGUUUUAUCUGUGCAGUGGGCAAGAACCAGUCAGGUGGUAACAGUUCUGAUUGUUACUUUUGGGUGAUUUCCCCUACAAAGAGGAAAAAUACUAAUUUUGAACCACCAUAUUCAAUUCUUAAGGCUUCCUAUAUUCUUAGUGAUAAUGUCAUUUUUGAAGAUAACAUAUUUCAAAGUACAGUAGCUUUGAAGUAUAUUUGUAUUUUGAAGAUACAUGUACUUGAAAAAUUGAGUUUGGCAAUGUGUUUCCACUAACAUUAAUUUAACAGGUAAGGCCGGGCGCAGUGGUUCACGCCUGUAAUCCCAGC